UAGGGAAUCUUUGGCAAUGGACGAAAGUCUGACCGAGCAACGCCGCGUGAGUGAAGAAGGUUUUCGGAUCGUAAAACUCUGUUGUUAGAGAAGAACAAGGACGUUAGUAACUGAACGUCCCCUGACGGUAUCUAACCAGAAAGCCACGGCUAACUACGUGCCAGCAGCCGCGGUAAUACGUAGGUGGCAAGCGUUGUCCGGAUUUAUUGGGCGUAAAGCGAGCGCAGGCGGUUUCUUAAGUCUGAUGUGAAAGCCCCCGGCUCAACCGGGGAGGGUCAUUGGAAACUGGGAGACUUGAGUGCAGAAGAGGAGAGUGGAAUUCCAUGUGUAGCGGUGAAAUGCGUAGAUAUAUGGAGGAACACCAGUGGCGAAGGCGGCUCUCUGGUCUGUAACUGACGCUGAGGCUCGAAAGCGUGGGGAGCAAACAGG
rnacentral:rRNA from 1 species